UAGGGAAUCUUCCGCAAUGGACGCAAGUCUGACGGAGCAACGCCGCGUGAGUUAAGAAGGAUUUCGGUUCGUAAAACUCUGUUGUUAGAGAAGAACAGCGCAUAGAGUAACUGUUAUGCGUGUGACGGUAUCUAACCAGAAAGCCACGGCUAACUACGUGCCACCAGCCGCGGUAAUACGUAGGUGGCAAGCGUUGUCCGGAUUUAUUGGGCGUAAAGCGAGCGCAGGCGGUCAAUUAAGUCUGAUGUGAAAGCCCCCGGCUCAACCGGGGAGGGUCAUUAGAAACUGGUUGACUUGAGUGCAGAAGAGGAAAAUGUAAUUCCAUAUGAAGCGGUGAAAUGCGUAAGUGUAUGGGGGAACACCAGUGGCGAAGGCGACUCUCAGGUCUGUAACUGACGAUGAGGCUCGAAAGCGUGGGUAGCAAACAGG
rnacentral:rRNA from 1 species